rnacentral:rRNA from 1 species
GCUUGCUCCUGGAUUCAGCGGCGGACGGGUGAGUAAUGCCUAGGAAUCUGCCUGGUAGUGGGGGAUAACGUCCGGAAACGGGCGCUAAUACCGCAUACGUCCUGAGGGAGAAAGUGGGGGAUCUUCGGACCUCACGCUAUCAGAUGAGCCUAGGUCGGAUUAGCUAGUUGGUGGGGUAAAGGCCUACCAAGGCGACGAUCCGUAACUGGUCUGAGAGGAUGAUCAGUCACACUGGAACUGAGACACGGUCCAGACUCCUACGGGAGGCAGCAGUGGGGAAUAUUGGACAAUGGGCGAAAGCCUGAUCCAGCCAUGCCGCGUGUGUGAAGAAGGUCUUCGGAUUGUAAAGCACUUUAAGUUGGGAGGAAGGGCAGUAAGUUAAUACCUUGCUGUUUUGACGUUACCAACAGAAUAAGCACCGGCUAACUUCGUGCCAGCAGCCGCGGUAAUACGAAGGGUGCAAGCGUUAAUCGGAAUUACUGGGCGUAAAGCGCGCGUAGGUGGUUCAGCAAGUUGGAUGUGAAAUCCCCGGGCUCAACCUGGGAACUGCAUCCAAAACUACUGAGCUAGAGUACGGUAGAGGGUGGUGGAAUUUCCUGUGUAGCGGUGAAAUGCGUAGAUAUAGGAAGGAACACCAGUGGCGAAGGCGACCACCUGGACUGAUACUGACACUGAGGUGCGAAAGCGUGGGGAGCAAACAGGAUUAGA